GGGCUGUUGGUCUAGCGGUAUGAUUCUCGCUUUGGGUUGUGUCAGCCUGUUGCUGCGAGAGGUCCCGGGUUCAAUCCCCGGACAGCCCC